rnacentral:rRNA from 1 species
GGGAUAACUAUUGGAAACGAUAGCUAAUACCGCAUAAGAGUAGAUGUUGUAUGACAUUUGCUUAAAAGGUGCAAUUGCAUCACUACCAGAUGGACCUGCGUUGUAUUAGCUAGUUGGUGAGGUAACGGCUCACCAAGGCGACGAUACAUAGCCGACCUGAGAGGGUGAUCGGCCACACUGGGACUGAGACACGGCCCAG